ensembl:lncRNA
GCUAUAACUGCUGCUUUCAUCUUGAGCAGUCUUGCCAUGUCAUGCCACGGUACAUUAAACCGAAAAAUAGCUUAUUAAAUCAAGUGUGUGGAAUACAGUUCUACUAAAUGAGCUACAAUAAGUACAACCGUAACAAAUAUUGUUCCCCGCGCCACGGUUGCUGCGGGUGCCUACCCAGCAUUGACGCGAAAGUCGGGGAGCCGAGCACAGUGUAUUGACCAGCAUGUUCAAGAAGCAGCCAGUGUUUCAGCGGGGGAAAAGGAUAAUGGGAGAAAGAUGAGAAGGAAAACAAUAGCAAAGCGCAUUUUCGACCUCGAAUAUGAAGAAGAGGAGGAGGAAGACCCUAAAUAUGAAGACUUUGGCAUCACGACAUCGCACAGCCAGCCUCCAUGUCACAGACUGCAGAAGAGAAGAAAGCACACACACCCGGUGAAAGAUAACGUAGAAGAGAACCCACCAUGCAACACCGCUCUCCAGAAGUUGAAAACGAGGGUACUAGUGUCAGACAACCCCAGUGUCGAACGCAUUGAGGAUGGCGACUUCCUGGCAGAGGGUCCCGGAGGCCUACAGUCACGCUCGAAGGCUGACCUGGUUGCCAUGGUGCUGAGCAUGCAGCGAGAGAUGGACAACCUGAGGGAGCAAAUCAGAUGCCUCACAGCGUGUGGGAAGUUGGCACGUAACCUGGAGACCCUGAUCGAGAGGACGGAGGUGUGGUCGAGCAGCACGGACCGGAGAACUACCUCUCCCAGCAUGCCUGAGAUCCUGGUGAGGAGUGGUGCCAUGACAACGUCGGCCCUGCUGGCCUCUCCAGGGGUGCUGAACGGGUGCUGGGCGGCCAAACUAGAGCCCCCCCACCCCCACCAGAAUGGAUACCCUCCGGGGUCUCAUGAGGGGGGUUCCCAGAUCAACGGACCACCCCUCUAUCAGGAGUUCAUCACUGCGGAGCUGCUUGACCGCUGUAACACGGGGACCACUGCCCAGAAACUGACCAAUGACCUGCUCCGGGGCCUCUAUGAGAGGGACUGCCUGGCCUCUCACUCCAUCUCCGGCAUCGUCAACAACAAGAGGGGCCAACCCAAGCCUGCCCUGCCUGCAGACGAGAUCCAGGCAAUACUGAGAGCGGUGCAGCACUACUUCCCAGGGAAGACGGACUCGGAGAUCAAGGGCUACAUCCGCCAGAAGCUGCAGAACGAAGCCAAGCGGCUCCGCAAGAAGCCUCACCUGGCCGUGAAGGUGGAGCCAGAGGCCGGGUCAGAGGGGGCGGAGAGUACUUUCUACAUCUAAGGGGAGUGAAGUGCUCCACCCCUGUCCAGGUUAAAGUGCAAUUAUGGGAGGGAGACUCACAUAAUAACUGCUGUGAGAGGGAACCAAAAUGGAGCAGCCUUAUCAACACCAGUCUAGUCUAUCUGUUUGUCUGUCCAUUCCCAGCCAUGUCUCUGGUCCGGGAGAGAAAUAGGCUAGUGAGGGAGGAGUCUAUUUGUCUGACAACGUGAUCAUUCCAGGGGAAGUAUUAGGGACUCCGUGUCUGAUCGAGACUAGUUACUGCUCAGGUGAAGUUAGAUGAUACUGUAGCUUAUUCUUCCUCUGCCCUCUGGCAUCGUUCUCAAGCCUCAGCUAGCCAGCCAGCAGUAGUAGGCCUAGUAGAUGGCAAGUGAUUUGUAUCCAAGUUUCGUACUCUUGUUUCUCUGAAGGAGGUGGCAGUCAGUCGGUGCUCUGCAGGGAAGUCGACAACAUAGCCGUCAGUGAAGCUGCGCUGCACUCUGUGUCACUUCAGUUUGAUUUACAGUGUUGUCAUUGACCUCGUGAAAUGAACCUAGCCUUAGUAUUGAAUCAAUUACAAUGUUGCUGAAUAAAAAAUGAUUUUGUUUUUCCCCAAAGCAUCAUUGUGCUUUUUUUUACACUUAAAAAAAACCAUUAUUCUGUCAGAACUUGACGAAACUAGAACUGAUACUUACACGUCAUGUUAUCAUAGCAGUAAUACCCUCAAGACAUUUUAGAAAUAUCUUCGUUUUUAUAUCUAUGGUAUCUAAUAAAACAUAACAUUGAAAUGAUUUUAAAAUGAA